rnacentral:rRNA from 1 species
GUGACCUCGGAUCAGGUAGGAAUACCCGCUGAACUUAACAAUCAG